AUACGGAGGAUCCGAGCGUUAUCCGGAUUUAUUGGGUUUAAAGGGUGCGCAGGCGGCCAUUUAAGUCAGCGGUUAAAUCGUGGGGCUCAACCCCAUUCUGCCGUUGAUACUGGGUGGCUUGAUUGCGGUCGAGGUUGGCGGAAUUCGUUGUGUAGCGGUGAAAUGCAUAGAUAUGACGAAGAAAACCGAUUGCGUAGGCAGCUGACCAGACCGCAAAUGACGCUCAUGCACGAAAGUGCGGGGAUCGAACAGGAUUAGAUACCCUGGUAGUCCGCACAGUAAACGAUGAAUACUUGUUUUCGGCGAUAUAAUGUCGGAGGCAAAGCGAAAGCGAUAAGUAUUCCACCUGGGGAGUACGCCGGCAACGGUGAAACUCAAAUGAAUUGGCGGGG
rnacentral:rRNA from 1 species